rnacentral:rRNA from 1 species
AACGAACGCUGGCGGCAUGCCUAACACAUGCAAGUCGAACGAGACCUUCGGGUCUAGUGGCGCACGGGUGCGUAACGCGUGGGAACCUGCCCUUAGGUUCGGAAUAACUCCCCGAAAGGGGUGCUAAUACCGGAUAAUGUCUUCGGACCAAAGAUUUAUCGCCUUUGGAUGGGCCCGCGUUGGAUUAGCUAGUUGGUAGGGUAAAAGCCUACCAAGGCGACGAUCCAUAGCUGGUCUGAGAGGAUGAUCAGCCACACUGGGACUGAGACACGGCCCAGUCGUGUGGGGGAGGCAGUGGUGGGGAAGAGUGGAGAGGGGAAGAGAGCUGGAUCGGGGAAUGCGGGGUGGGUGGGAAAAGGCUUGGGGUGUGAAAGCUAGUUUACCGGGAAUGAUAAUGCGAGGAGGGUGAGAAUACGCUCUGGAGCGCUCGGUGCCAGCGGCGGGGGUAGGAGAGCAAGGGAACAGGCCUGGCC